CCUACGGGAGGCAGCAGUAGGGAAUCUUUCACAAUGGGCGAAAGCCUGAUGGAGCAACGCCGCGUGCAGGAUGAAGGCCCUCGGGUUGGAAAAUGCUUUUAUAAGCGAGAAAUAUGAUGGUAACUUAUGAUUAAGGAUCGGCUAACUACGUGCCAGCAGCGGCGGUCAUACGUAGGAUACGAGCAUUAUCCGGAGUGACUGGGUGUAAAGAGUUGCGUAGGUGGCAUUAUAAGGAGCUAGUGGAAUCUGGUGGCUCAACCAUUCAGACUAUUAGCUAAACUGUUAAGCUCGAGAACGUUAGGGGUAACUGGAAUUUCUGGUGUAGGAGUGAAAUCCGUAGAUAUUAGAAGGAACACCAAUAGCGUAGGCAGGUUGCUGGGACGGUUCUGACACUAAGGCACGAAAGCGUAGGGAGCAAACGGGAUUAGAUACCCUGGUAGUC
rnacentral:rRNA from 1 species